rnacentral:rRNA from 1 species
UGGGCGGUAUUUCUUCCUUAUAGAGGAACUUGGUCUGUAAUCGACGUACCACGUAGUAUCUUACCUUAGUUAAAGUUUGUAUACCGUUGUUGUCAGAUUACUUUUAAUAACUUUUAAGUUUUCUUAAUAGCNAUAGUCCUAAUGCUAUUACUUCAAAUCAAGGUGCAGUAUAUGUUAAGGUAGAGCUGAGUUACUUUUAUUGAGUACUGGAUAACAGGUUGAAAUUUUGUUUGAGAUAGGAUUUAUUAGUAAGUUUAUAUUAAUUAAGAUUAGCUGAAAAGGGGUCUAGGGUAUGUACAAAUCGCCCGUCACUCUGGUUUUAAUAUCAGAUAAGUCGUAACAAAGUAGAUGUAAGGGAACUUGCAUCUAGUUGA